AAACCCGGAUUCCGGUUCCGGUGGGCCUCCAUCAGCAAGCUCCAGUGCUACGUGUCUCUGGCAUUUUAGGUGUCGGUUGGGUAGGCAGUCAUGGAUCAGGUAAUGCAGUUUGUUGAGCCAAGUCGGCAGUUUGUAAAGGACUCCAUUCGGCUGGUUAAAAGAUGCACUAAACCUGAUAGAAAAGAAUUCCAGAAGAUUGCCAUGGCAACAGCAAUAGGAUUUGCUAUAAUGGGAUUCAUUGGCUUCUUUGUGAAAUUGAUCCAUAUUCCUAUUAAUAACAUCAUUGUGUAAGUAAACUUUAUGAAAUAGACUAGGAUUGAAUGAAACUCGAAACCAUUUGAGAUGACAGGCUGUUAUUUCGUUAAUAUAGAGAUGCAUCUCUUGACUUUUUAGUGCUGUUGGAGUCUACUGAUAUUUACGAGUACCUGAUAAUUGAGGGCUUUUAGAUCUUACAUGAUCUUUCCAGAAAUUCUGUGUGCUAGGCACUAUUUUCUUUAAUAAAUAAAAUUUUACAGAGUCAAGAAAGUAUUAAAGACACUCAUAUGUCACAAAGCCAGCAUUGAAACCUAAGUCCUCUUUGUGCUGUUACCUUGUUAAUUUCUAAUGUGCAGAGCAAAUGCUUCCCAUCCAAAAAUCACUGCUGUGAUAGAAUUCUAACUCU
rnacentral:sRNA from 1 species